rnacentral:lncRNA from 1 species
CUCAAAAUUAAGAUGAUGAAGAGAUGAAGGCCAACAUAAUACUACUGAAGGUUGCCUAAAAGGGACUGGAAACCACCAAGGGGAGAGGAAAGAAGACUGUGAGUGAAUGCUGUUACUCAGUUUUACAGCUGCUUUGAAUGAUGUGAUAUCUACAGCUGCGUUGGGUAUAAUCCUCUGGCCACACUAUUUGCCUGCAUGUUGUUCAUCCCAUAUCACCACAAAUACCAGGGCUUCCCAUCACUUAAGAUAA